rnacentral:rRNA from 1 species
AGAGGUGGCAAGCGUUGUUCGGAAUUACUGGGCGUAAAGGGCGCGUAGGCGGUCCGAUAAGUCCCACGUGAAAUCCCCCGGCUCAACUGGGGAACUGCGCGGGAAACUGACGGACUUGAGUUCGGGAGAGGGAAGCGGAAUUCCGGGUGUAGCGGUGAAAUGCGUAGAUAUCCGGAGGAACACCGGUGGCGAAGGCGGCUUCCUGGACCGACACUGACGCUGAGGCGCGAAAGCUAGGGGAGCAAACGGGAUUAGAUACCCCGGUAGUCCUAGCUGUAAACGAUGAGUGCUGGGUGUAGGGGGUGUUAACCCCUCCUGUGCCGAAGCUAACGCAUUAAGCACCCCGCCUGGGGAGUACGGUCGCAAGGCUG